rnacentral:lncRNA from 1 species
AGAAUCACCAAGACAAGGUGUCCAGUGCCCACAAGGAAUCAUGGCUGAGCAUUCUCCAGACAGCCCAGUCUGCCCACAUGUGAACCACAG